rnacentral:rRNA from 1 species
GUGGGGAAUCUUGCGCAAUGGGCGAAAGCCUGACGCAGCCAUGCCGCGUGAAUGAUGAAGGUCUUAGGAUUGUAAAAUUCUUUCACCGGGGACGAUAAUGACGGUACCCGGAGAAGAAGCUCCGGCUAACUUCGUGCCAGCAGCCGCGGUAAUACGAAGGGGGCUAGCGUUGCUCGGAAUUACUGGGCGUAAAGGGCGCGUAGGCGGACAGCUUAGUCAGAGGUGAAAGCCCAGGACUCAACCUUGGAAUUGCCUUUGAUACUGGCUGUCUUGAGUUUGGGAGAGGUGAGUGGAACUCCGAGUGUAGAGGUGAAAUUCGUAGAUAUUCGGAAGAACACCAGUGGCGAAGGCGACUCACUGGCCCAAUACUGACGCUGAGGCGCGAAAGCGUGGGGAGCAAACAGGAUUAGAUACCCGGGUAGUCC